rnacentral:rRNA from 1 species
UGGGGAAUAUUGCACAAUGGGCGGAAGCCUGAUGCAGCAACGCCGCGUGCGGGAUGACGGCCUUCGGGUUGUAAACCGCUUUCAGCAGGGACGAAGCGUGAGUGACGGUACCUGCAGAAGAAGCACCGGCUAACUACGUGCCAGCAGCCGCGGUGAUACGUAGGGUGCGAGCGUUGUCCGGAUUUAUUGGGCGUAAAGAGCUUGUAGGCGGUUGGUUGCGUCGAAAGUGCAAACUCAGGGCUUAACUCUGAGCCUGCUUUCGAUACGGGCUGACUGGAGGAAGGUAGGGGAGAAUGGAAUUCCCGGUGGAGCGGUGGAAUGCGCAGAUAUCGGGAGGAACACCAGUGGCGAAGGCGGUUCUCUGGACCUUUCCUGACGCUGAGAAGCGAAAGCGUGGGGAGCAAACA